GAACAUUCCAUUUGUGCCUGAGGAGAGUGUGCAUUCUACUGUUGUUAGGUGAAGUGUUCUAUCUAUUAUCUAUUGGGUCCAGGUGGUCUACAGGGAUGUUCCAGUCAUCCUUCAUUACUGAUUCAUCUGGUGCAUUCUUCAAAUAGAUUUUGAAUGGCAAGAUGAUCUUCUUGUAAAGAAAUAUUACUCUGCACAUCUUUCCUGCAGAUGAAGCCAUCUACAGAUAUUUAAUUACACCUAUGCUGGGAAGCAGUGUUUUAAAUCAGGACAAAAGAUUGGGUAGUUAUUUGGGACAAAGCCAUUACUAAAGAAAGUGGUGUUCAAAUGUUGGGAGAAACGUAUCCUAUCUACUUUUCCUUCCUGCCCUUCAUGCAACACACUGGAUGGAAAUACUCUGUGCUGAGAAAAGUUCAAUCCAGAGACUGAGUUGGUUCUUGUCUGAAGAAAAGAGCUCUUACAAGAGAAAAUAAGGUAUCACUUUUGUCACUGACAGCAGAAAAGAAGGUGGUGCUAAGAAAUGAUAGGAGAGAAUUCUGAGCCUCCUCUUCUUAGAAUUCUGCUUUCCCCACCACCUACCUAAUUUAACCAUAGUCCAUACAAGGGAAGCCAUUGGCUGUUCUACUAAUCAUAAAAUUACCUUCAGGUUAAAUUGUCCUUAUCGAUCUUUGUUUUUAUUUUUUUGCAGUGCACUAUGUGAAAGCAAGCCAACAUACAAUGCAAAACAAUAUUUUUUUCUUUAUAGCAUCAUUCCACCUAGGUCGAAUAGACAUAAAUUGACCCACGUGAGAUAAAUCUAAAGGGCUAGACCUCUAUAAUGAAUAAUUAGUGAACCAUGCAAUUUUUACAGAUGGAAGUUAUCUAAUCAAAUGUCUUCAAUUUAUAGAUGAGGAUUAAGUCCUUGGCUCUAUUCUGAGGACAACCAUAAAAGUUCUUGGCUGCUUAAAGAGACAAUUCAAAUGCCCUCUCAUUACCUCCCUCAUUAAAUGCAAGCCAGUGUUAUUACUGGAUAGAGAUUUAAUUGAACCCAGAAGUGUUGCUAAUGUGACUUCAUGGAUGUUGGCAUGGUUUUUUUCUGUGACCAUACUUCUUACUCCCUGAACUGGCAUUUUCUAGGAUUACUUUAUCUGUCAGUUGUAAUACUUGAAUUUGAGAUGAAAGGUAGAUAACAAAAAUAAAUAGUGUCCUUCUAUAUAGCCCCUCACUAUGUAGCCACUUCAAGUAUUAAGGUGAUCAUCAAAUUUUUCUGCAUUUUGAAUAUCUUAUUAAAUGGUUCUCUUCCAAAUCCAGAGGGUAAACUAGAAAAAAGAUGGAUACUCAAUAAAAAGGAAGGAAAUCCAUCAACAUUUAUUCAGCACAUAUAUUCUGCAAAACCCUUUCAUGCAUGCACUCAAUUAUCUCAUUUAGUUCUUUCAACAACUUCCAUACUGUAUUGUACUAGCUUACUGAUCCUUUCUUCUGUUGGAUCACAUUUAAUGUUUUUCUAAUUUUGGCUAUAUUUAAUUUCUUGCGUGUUUAUUUAGUUCUUCUAUAAAUACUUCAUUUCUCUAUUGAAAUUGUUCAUUCUGGGGCUGGUGCUAUGGCGUAGUGGGUAAAGCCACCACCUGCAGUGCUGGCAUCCUAUAUGGGUGCUGGUUCAAGUCCCGGCUGCUCCACUUUCUAUCCAGCUCUCUGCUGUGAUGUGGGAAAGCAGUAGAAGAUGGCCCAAGUCCUUGGGCCACUGCACCGGCAUGGGAGACCAGGAAGAAGCUCUUGGCUCCUGGCUUCAAAUAGGUGCAGCUCCAGCCAUUGCGGCCAGUUGGAUGGAACCAGAGGAUAGAAGACCUCUCUCUGUCUCUUUCUCUGCCUCUCCUUCUCUCUCUGUGUAACUCUUUCAAAUAAAUAAAUAUUUUUAAAAAG